CUUUCAACAACGGAUCUCUUGGUUCCAUCUCUUGGUUCCAGCAUCGAUGAAGAACGCAGCGAAAUGCGAUAAGUAAUGUGAAUUGCAGAAUUCAGUGAAUCAUCGAAUCUUUGAACGCACAUUGCGCCCCUCGGUAUUCCGGGGGGCAUGCCUGUUCGAGCGUCAUU
rnacentral:rRNA from 1 species